rnacentral:rRNA from 1 species
UACGGGGGGGGCAAGCGUUGUUCGGAAUUACUGGGCGUAAAGGGCUCGUAGGCGGCCAACUAAGUCGGAUGUGAAAUCCCCAGGCUUAACCUGGGAACUGCAUCCGAUACUGGAUGGCUUGAAUUCGGGAGAGGGAUGCAGAAUUCCAGGUGUAGCGGUGAAAUGCGUAGAUAUCGGGAGGAACACCAGUGGCGAAGGCGACUACCUGGCCUGUUCUUGACGCUGAGGCGCGAAAGCUAGGGGAGCAAACGGG